CGCCGCCAUGUUCCGCCGGGCCGCCGCCGCCCGGCGCCUGUAGCCGCCCCCGCCCGCCCCGCCGCGCCCCGCCAGCCGCCGGCGGACGGGCGGACGAAGGCGCUGCCGCGCCCAGCACCGCCGCCGGAGCCCGGCAGCGCCCAGCGAUGUCCGCCAAGGAGGGGAGCAAGGUGCUGCUGCUGACGCCCCACGCCACCAGCGAGCGCGCCGUCAAGGCUGUCCCUUUUCCACCAACGCAUCGCUUAACGUCUGAAGAAGUGUUUGACACAGAUGGAAGACCAAGGGUUGACAUUCUGAAGAACCACUUGAUAAAAGAAGGUCGAGUGGAUGAAGAAAUUGCACUUAGAAUCAUCAAUGAGGGUGCUGCAAUAUUACGGAGGGAAAAAACUAUGAUAGAAGUUGAAGCUCCAAUUACAGUGUGUGGUGAUAUUCAUGGCCAGUUCUUUGAUCUAAUGAAGCUGUUUGAAGUGGGAGGAUCACCUGCUAACACAAGAUACCUCUUCCUCGGUGACUAUGUAGACAGAGGUUAUUUUAGUAUAGAGUGUGUGCUGUACUUAUGGGUCCUGAAAAUUCUCUACCCAAGCACAUUAUUUCUUUUGAGAGGCAACCAUGAAUGCAGACACCUAACAGAGUAUUUUACCUUUAAGCAAGAAUGUAAAAUAAAGUACUCCGAAAGAGUCUAUGAUGCUUGCAUGGAAGCUUUUGAUUGUCUCCCUCUUGCUGCUCUCUUAAAUCAACAGUUUCUUUGUGUUCAUGGUGGACUUUCACCAGAAAUUAAUACACUAGAUGACAUUAGGAGAUUAGAUAGAUUCAAAGAGCCUCCAGCAUUUGGACCAAUGUGUGACUUAUUGUGGUCAGAUCCAUCAGAAGAUUUUGGAAAUGAAAACUCACAAGAGCAUUUCAGUCACAAUACAGUCAGAGGAUGCUCAUACUUUUAUAGCUAUCCAGCAGUUUGUGAAUUUUUGCAAAAUAAUAAUUUGUUGUCAAUCAUUAGAGCACAUGAAGCACAAGAUGCAGGUUAUAGAAUGUACAGGAAAAGUCAAACUACAGGGUUCCCAUCAUUAAUAACAAUUUUUUCAGCACCUAAUUACCUGGAUGUCUACAAUAAUAAAGCUGCUGUAUUAAAAUAUGAAAACAAUGUGAUGAAUAUUCGUCAGUUCAAUUGUUCUCCUCAUCCUUACUGGCUACCAAAUUUUAUGGAUGUUUUCACGUGGUCUUUGCCAUUUGUUGGAGAAAAAGUAACAGAAAUGUUGGUGAAUGUUUUGAGCAUUUGCUCUGAUGAUGAACUCAUGACAGAGGGAGAAGAUCAAUUUGACGAGCGACUCAUAUAUGGCAAUAAAAAAGUAGGUACAGCUGCCGCACGGAAAGAAAUAAUCAGAAACAAAAUUCGUGCAAUCGGCAAGAUGGCGAGAGUCUUCUCUGUUCUCAGGGAGGAGAGUGAAAGUGUGCUGACACUCAAGGGUUUGACUCCCACUGGAAUGUUACCUAGUGGAGUGUUGGCUGGAGGACGACAGACCCUGCAAAGUGAUGCAUUCUAAUUGGAGGCUCUUCUCAAAGUUUGAGUGCAGAAGAUAAAGUUAAAAAUGGUGGAGUCUGGAGCUGUCUCUAAUUCUUGUAUUGUUUGGGAGAAGAAAUUAUAUCCUUCCUCCCAGAAAACUUUCUUAUCAGAUACUUGCAGUCUGAAGAAGGACAAGCACCUAAACCUCUACAUCAUAACCAUUAAUCGGGGACAGCCAUCCCUUUUGGAUGUAGCACCUGCAGAGCUGGUUCUCAUCAGCCCUUCAGUUCCUUUGUCAAGAAAGGGGGCAGGAUGUAAACAGCACACAGACCUCAACAGCUAAAAGUAACAAAGUGUUUGACUACUCUCACAGUGAAAAGCCUUCUUCCCUGAGGACACACAGUGCUGAGCCACAUUUGAUUUGUCAGCUAUCAGAACAUACUGGAAAUCUGCUCCUUCUAUCCCACAUAAGGAACAGGUGAGCUCAGCUUAGCUUGCUCUCUGUGAAUCAUUAGGAGCUCACCUCCUGUUACAGGACUUUUAAGAGUUUAGAACCUUGGAAACUUCUGCCUCUACUGCACAAACAGUGUUUUCAAACUGUUACAGGGUGAGAACUUAGAAGAGGUGGUGGGGUUUUCCUUUGGAAUCCAGGUUAUAAAGCAUGGACAUUCAAUGACUAAAUCUGGACCACUGACUCAAGACUGAAGACGUAUUACAUGUUUUAAAUAAAAAGAACAAGUCAAAUAUCUGUAUGCCUUUGUUUUGGUAUAUGUAUGAUUUACCAGCCAUACCACAAAGGCUGCUAUUAGCAUUAACAUACAUUAGAAAUAUUUACUUGAACAACCUGGAUCUCUAAGGAAAACCCUGUAAGGUAAAUGUCAUAUAAUUGAUCUUAGAAAUCAUAUAUUUAAAAUCACCUUCAUAAUGAAGCAUAAUGUAUGGACUCAUCACUCACUUGCUGGGAAUCAUCUUUACUGACAACUUUUAGAAAUACGGGUCACCCAUUACAUACAGUACACAUUCAGUCUUGACCUCAGAAAACAGAAAUAAAGUGCAGACAGUAAGGCCUAGCUCAAAUGUUCUCCUUGGGUUUGGUUGCCCCAAGAUUUCUACCCCUAAAUUACUAUGUCCAGGCUAUAUAAUAUUCUUUUCCCCAGAGGUACACUCUGAUAUUUCUCUACCAGACAAAAGAUUUUAAUGGAAUUUAGAUUCACAAUUCCAAAAUUAGGAUCCUCAAAAGCCCUGCCCAGAUAACUAUCAGUACUGCAGAAGAAAAUUUCACAUAGGUUUUUUUAACUGACUGUCACUUUAGCAUCACCAGUAAGAUAGGAAAUCUAGAAUUGUUGAUACCAAAUCUAAGAGGUCUUUUAAAUUAAUCCAUUGAAAUUGGUUAUGUUUUAGAUGCUAGCUAAGGAAAAAAUUUUCAGAUGUAGUUAAAAAUAAACUACAGCUACAAUCAUGAGGGUUCAGCAGAACCAUGAGGGGAGAAGAGAAAUCCUGAAUUUAAUAAAGUCUUGUUUCUAGCAUGUUUGUCUUUAGUUUGACAGACUUUAAAUCUAGUUCUGUACUACAUAAAACACAAGUAACAUUCACACAAUUACGAGGCCAGGAAAGUGCCAUGAUCAGUGCCAUAAAAGCACAGAUGAAUUUAGCUUUGAAAAAUGAUGCAGGCAUAUCAAAAGCACUGCAGUAUCAGCUACACCUGAUCAGCCUUCCAUUAAGUUUCAUUUAAAUUUUUAGUCCAUUCAGUUGUGAGCUGAAAGUGAAACAGUCCUGUGGCUGAAGGAUAGAGGGUCCAAGUCAAGAUACAGUGUCCUCUAUCCUCAGAAUAUUUACUUGGUGUCAUAUGAAAGCUGGGCUGCUUGAGUAAAGCAUUCCAAGCUCUUAGAGCUAUGACCACUGAAGUUUGUUCAGCAUCUCUGUAAAUCCUGGGAUACGGAUAAGCAAGUAUUUGGUAGAGACAGGUUCAGAGAUUACCUUUGACCCUGUAUGUAAAGACCCUCAUAUUUAUAGAAGAAACUUUAAGGAAAAAAACAAACAAACAAACAAAAAAGAAUUGUUGAGAUAAUUAGCUAUAUUAAAAAACCAAACUCACCAGAAAAAGGUAAAAUAAGAUCAAAAAAUCAAAAACCUUUCUAGAACAGGCAUAAUUAAAAAAAAAAACCCAAACUUCCUUCUUGGAAUCUUUGAGACAGCUAUAAAGUCAUCCUCAGGGAUACACAGAGGAAAACAAAGACCAUAAUCUCUACAGAACAUUGUAUAUGAACUGACAGCUAGUAUUUACACUCACACAGGGCACAGUAAGAAGGGGUAUUUACAGAAUAUAAAUACAUUAGGAAUGAAACACAUUCAAGAGCCAUACUUACAGGAUAACCAGGGAAAGCAGGGUAGCCAUCAGAAGGGGGAUAACCUGGGUAUGACAUUCUGGGA